GGGGUGUACUUAACUCCUGAAGCAAGGACUGUACCCAGAUGAUCUCUGAUGUGGCAUUGGCCACAGCCUUAUACUCAGCCUCAGUACUGCUACGCGAGACAGUAGCCUGUUUCCGAGCACUCCAGGCAAUCAGGUUAGAGCCAAAGAAGACAGCAUAACCCCCCGUGGAUCUCCUGUCAUCCGGAUUGCCAGCCCAGUCUGCAUCAGAAUAUGCUGAAAGACAACCAGAGUCAGACGGCCGAAUAUGCAAACCAUGAGCCACCGUGAAACGAAUAUAGCGCAAAAUCCGCUUAACAGCAGACCAAUGAGUGUCACGGGGUGACUGCAGAUACUGGCAGACUCGAUUAACAGCAUAGGAAAUGUCUGGUCGCGUGAUCGUCAAGUACUGGAGCCCACCAACAAUACUCUUGUACUCUGUCGCAUCAGAAGAAGAAAGAAGCACACCAUCAACAACAUUGAGCUUAUCAGCGGUAGACAUGGG
rnacentral:rRNA from 1 species